rnacentral:rRNA from 1 species
GUGAGGAAUAUUGCACAAUGGGCGAAAGCCUGAUGCAGCAACGCCGCGUGAGUGAUGAAGGCCUUUGGGUCGUAAAACUCUGUCCUUGGGGAAGAAAAAAAUGACGGUACCCUUGGAGGAAGCCCCGGCUAACUACGUGCCAGCAGCCGCGGUAAUACGUAGGGGGCAAGCGUUAUCCGGAAUUAUUGGGCGUAAAGAGUGCGUAGGUGGUUUUGUAAGCGGAGGGUGAAAGGCAGUAGCUCAACUAUUGUUAGCCCAGCGAACUGUGAGUCUUGAGUGCAGGAGAGGAAAGUGGAAUUCCUAGUGUAGCGGUGAAAUGCGUAGAUAUUAGGAGGAACACCAGUGGCGAAGGCGACUUUCUGGACUGUAACUGACACUGAGGCACGAAAGCGUGGGUAGCAAACAGGAUUAGAUACCCUGGUAGUCC